rnacentral:tRNA from 1 species
GGGCCUAUAGCUCAGUUGGUUAGAGCACACGCCUGAUAAGCGUGAGGUCGGUGGUUCAAGUCCAUUUAGGACCACCA